rnacentral:rRNA from 1 species
GAUGAACGCUGACAGAAUGCUUAACACAUGCAAGUCAAGUGGCGGACGGGUGAGUAACGCGUAAAGAACUUGCCUCACGGAUAGGGACAACAUUUGGAAACGAAUGCUAAUACCUGAUACUGUGAGAUAGCUUUUCGUCCCAUUAGCUAGUUGGAGAGGUAACGGCUCACCAAGGCGAGGAUGGGGAGCCGGCCUGAGAGGGUGAUCGGCCACAAGGGGAAUGAGACACGGCCCAGACUCCUACGGUAGGCAGCAGUGGGGAAGUUUGGACAAUGGGCGCAGACUGAUCCAGCCAUGCCGCGUGUCUGAAGAAGGCUUCGGGUUGUAAAGGACUUUUGUUAGGGAAGCUACGACUAAAGAAUAAGCACCGGCUAACUACGUGCCAGCAGCCGCGGUAAUAC